UACGGAGGGUGCAAGCAUUGAUCGGAAUUACUGGGCGUAAAGGGCGCGUAGGCGGUCGAGAAAGUCAGAUGUGAAAUUCCGGGGCUCAACCCCGGAGCUGCAUUUGAAACUCCUUGACUAGAGGAUGAUUAGGGAAAACGGAACUCCACGUGUAGCGGUGAAAUGCGUAGAUAUGUGGAAGAACACCAGUGGUGAAGACGGUUUUCUGGGUCAAACCUGACGCUGAGGCGCGAAAGCUAGGGGAGCAAACGGG
rnacentral:rRNA from 1 species